rnacentral:tRNA from 1 species
GGCUUGCUGGUCUAGUGGUAUGAUUCUCGCUUUGGGUGGGAGAGGUCACCGGUUCGAUUCCCGUGCAAGCCC